GGUUCCCGAGUGGUCAAAGGGAGCAGACUGUAAAUCUGUUGCCGGACGGCUUCGUAGGUUCGAAUCCUACCCUCGCCA
rnacentral:tRNA from 1 species